rnacentral:rRNA from 1 species
CAGCAGUGGGGAAUUUUGGACAAUGGGCGCAAGCCUGAUCCAGCAAUGCCGCGUGCAGGAUGAAGGCCUUCGGGUUGUAAACUGCUUUUGUACGGAACGAAACGGUCGUCUCUAAUACAGAUGGGUAAUGACGGUACCGUAAGAAUAAGCACCGGCUAACUACGUG